rnacentral:rRNA from 1 species
UGAGGAAUAUUGGUCAAUGGGCGAGAGCCUGAACCAGCCAAGUAGCGUGCAGGAAGACGGCCCUAUGGGUUGUAAACUGCUUUUAUGUGGGGAUAAAGUGCGUGACGUGUCAUGCAUUGCAGGUACCACAUGAAUAAGGACCGGCUAAUUCCGUGCCAGCAGCCGCGGUAAUACGGAAGGUCCGGGCGUUAUCCGGAUUUAUUGGGUUUAAAGGGAGCGUAGGCUGUGCAUCAAGUCAGCGGUAAAAUCUCGGGGCUCAACCCCGUUUAGCCGUUGAAACUGGUGUGCUGGAGUGUGCGCGAGGAAGGCGGAAUGCGCGGUGUAGCGGUGAAAUGCAUAGAUAUUGCGCAGAACUCCGAUUGCGAAGGCAGCCUUCCAGUGCAUGACUGACGCUGAGGCACGAAAGCGUGGGUAUCGAACAGG